CAGUAGCCACGGUAAUACGUAGGUCCCGAGCGUUAUCCGGAUUUAUUGGGCGUAAAGCGAGCGCUGGCGGUUAGAUAAGUCUGAAGUUAAAGGCUGUGGCUUAACCAUAGUACGCUUUGGAAACUGUUUAACUUGAGUGCAGAAGGGGAGAGUGGAAUUCCAUGUGUAGCGGUGAAAUGCGUAGAUAUAUGGAGGAACACCGGUGGCGAAAGCGGCUCUCUGGUCUGUAACUGACGCUGAGGCUCGAGAGCGUGGGGAGCAAACAGGAUUAGAGACCCGAGUAGUCCCUGUCUCUUAUACC
rnacentral:rRNA from 1 species